rnacentral:rRNA from 1 species
AUUGAACGCUGGCGGCAGGCCUAACACAUGCAAGUCGAGCGGAUGAAGGGUGCUUGCUUCUGGUUUCCGCGGCGGAAGGGUGUGUAAUGCCUAGGAAUCUGCUUGGCAGUGGGGGAUAACGUCCGGAAACGGGCGCUACUACCGCCUACGUCCUGCGGGUGAAAGUGGGGGAUCUUUGGACCUCACGCUAUCAGAUGAGCCUAGGUCGGAUUAGCUAGUUGGUGGGGUAAAGGCCUACCUAGGCGACGAUCCGUAACUGGUCUGAGAUGAUGAUCAGUCACACUGGGACUGAGACACGCUCCAGAGGCCUACGGGUGGCAGCAGUGGGGAAUAGUGGACAAUGGGCGAAAGCCUGAUCCAGCCAUGCCGCGUGUGGGAAGAAGGUCUUCGGAUGGUAAAUCACGUUAAGUUGGGUGGAAGGGCAGUAAGUUAGUACCUUGCUGUGUGGACGUUACCAACAGAAAGAGCACCGGCUAACUUCGUG